rnacentral:rRNA from 1 species
CCUACGUGAGGCAGCAGUGAGGAAUAUUGGUCAAUGGGCGCGAGCCUGAACCAGCCAAGUAGCGUGAAGGAUGACUGCCCUACGGGUUGUAAACUUCUUUUAUAAAGGAAUAAAGUGAGGCACGUGUGCCUUUUUGUAUGUACUUUAUGAAUAAGGAUCGGCUAACUCCGUGCCAGCAGCCGCGGUAAUACGGAGGAUCCGAGCGUUAUCCGGAUUUAUUGGGUUUAAAGGGAGCGUAGAUGGGUUGUUAAGUCAGUUGUGAAAGUUUGCGGCUCAACCGUAAAAUUGCAAUUGAUACUGGCAGUCUUGAGUACAGUUGAGGUAGGCGGAAUUCGUGGUGUAGCGGUGAAAUGCUUAGAUAUCACGAAGAACUCCGAUUGCGAAGGCAGCUUACUAAACUGCCACUGACACUGAUGCUCGAAAGUGUGGGUAUCAAACAGGAUUAGAUACCCUUGUAGUC